CCUACGGGGUGCAGCAGUGGGGGAUAUUGCACAAUGGGGGGAACCCUGAUGCAGCGACGCCGCGUGGGUGAAGGAGUGCUUCGGCAUGUAAAGCCCUAUCGGCAGGGAAGAAGCAAGACGGUACCUGACUAAGAAGCCCCGGCUAACUACGUGCCAGCAGCCGCGGUAAUACGGAGGGGGCGAGCGUUAUCCGGAUUCACUGGGUGUAAAGGGAGCGUAGACGGCCAUGCAAGCCAGGGGUGAAAGCCCGGGGCCCAACCCCGGGACUGCCCUUGGAACUGUGUGGCUAGAGUGCGGGAGGGGCAGGCGGAAUUCCUGGUGUAGCGGUGAAAUGCGUAGAUAUCAGGAGGAACACCGGCGGCGAAGGCGGCCUGCUGGACCGCGACUGACGUUGAGGCUCGAAAGCGUGGGGAGCGAACAGGAUUAGAUACCCCUGUAGUC
rnacentral:rRNA from 1 species